GUGCGAAGGUAGCGUAAUCACUUGUCUUUUAAUUGAAGUCCCGUAUGAAAGGCAUCACGAGAGUUUAUCUGUCUUUACUUUCUAAUCAAUGAAAUUGAUCUUCUCGUGCAGAAGCGAGAAUAAAAACAUAAGACGAGAAGACCCUAUGGAGCUUUAAACACUUAAGUUAUUUUUAAACAUUAAAACUUUCCCCACCUUCGGGCACAAACACAAAAAAAUAAUUUCCUAACUUAACUUGUUUUUGGUUGGGGCGACCAAGGGGAAAAACAAAACCCCCUUAUCGAAAAGGUGAGAAAUCACUCAAAGCUAGAAUUACAAUUCUAGCUAAUAAAAAAUUUAACGAACAAUGACCCAGGAAAUAAUAUCCUGAUCAAUGAACCAAGUUACCCUAGGGAUAACAGCGCAAUCCUUUCUUAGAGCCCCCAUCACCGAAAGGGUUUACGACCU
rnacentral:rRNA from 1 species